GAGAAAUCAUCUUUUUCAUCAUGAAUUGGGGUAAUGAGCUUUCCAUAAACGAUAUAGAUAACAAGAUCGAGGAUAGGGCCGUGUUCAUUCAAUUUGAUAGUAUUUGCAUCUUUAAAAGUUAGUUCAACAACAUAAAUUUCCUUAGUAUACAUACUGAAGUCGUCAUUAUUGAGAACCAAUAUAUCACCCAAAUAUCAUAAAGUAUUGUUUAAUAUUUUCUCAGAUGUUGAUUCCAUUGGUCUUUGCUGAACAUAGUUUGUUGAAACAUAGUUUUAAAAUAUUUAUCCUUCUCUAACAGAAUCUUUUGAUAAUUAAUAUAACAUCCCUUGUCACAGAAUAUAGACGUUAACACCCUGUUUAUUACGAAAUGCCUGUACCAUUGCAGGAACAUAACCGAUGUUUUCAAUUCGUUAGAUGUGUAUUAACAUGUGUCAUUUGAAAGACAUUGAUAUAACUUCGAUUAUACAAAUAGAAUAAUAAAUUAGGUUACUGUUUUUUCUUGUUACUAGAAAUAUUAAGGAACCACAUCAUCACACAACAACUUCUGAACAUCAGACGCCUGACAUUGGACAGGUGCAAACAAUUACAGCGGG
rnacentral:lncRNA from 1 species